AAGAAUGGAUUAGGGGAAACAAGGGAACUUCAGUAGUAGUAGAGGAAAGAAUAGAAAAGAUAACUGAGUAAGAAGUAAAGAAAAAAGAAAAAUUCGACAGAGAUGGGAGGAGAAAAUGUUAGAACAACGGAGAGAAAAAUGACUCUCUCUUUUUUUGAAAAAGAAAAAAAAUGAUCAGAUUUUGGAUAUAGUCCCCUAUAAUCCCCUAAUUCACUCCUAAAAUCGCCCCCCCACUUCCCACUACACAUUCACCAAAGAUUCAAACCUAUGACCUCCACUAUAAUAACACACCACCAGCAAGCCCAUUCUGAUGUAAUUUACCCAACAAUCAAAUAAAAGCCUACUGAACAAGAGUAAGGCC
rnacentral:lncRNA from 1 species